rnacentral:ncRNA from 1 species
AUUUUCUGUACUGAACCUUUUCCAAAAGUUUUCUUCCCAACAAUUUUUGCACGCUUAAGAUCUUGCAUACAACCAGCAACAAUUUCAGAAGCGCUGGCACUAAACUCGUUAACCAAGACAACCAAGGGCAAUUCUGGACGCGCGUAUCUCCCAGAAGACUUAUGUAUUGAAUUUUCACUUUUUCGCCGACCCUCUGUAGUCACAAUUAAUUCUCCUUGUGUUAAAAACUUUUCACAUACCUUUACAGCUUGAUCGAGUAACCCGCCAGGAUUAUGACGUAA